CCCCUAGAUGUUCUGGGCCGCACGCGCGCUACACUGAACAGUUCAACAAGUCUUAACCUUGGCCGAUAGGUCUGGGUAAUCUUUGAACGCUGUUCGUGAUUGGGAUAGACCUUUGCAAUUAUGGGUCUUCAACGAGGAAUUCCUGGUAAACGCAAGUCAUCAGCUUGCAUUGAUUGCGUCCCUGCCCUUUGUACACGCCGCCCGUCGCACCUACCGAUUGAAUGGUCCGGUGAAAUCUCGGGACGGCGGCUUGGUCGCUUGCGUCCGACUGCUGAAACUUGAUUAAACCAUAUCAUUUAGAGGAAGGUGAAGUCGUANCG
rnacentral:rRNA from 1 species